rnacentral:rRNA from 1 species
GAUGAACGCUGGCGGCGUGCCUAAUACAUGCCAGUCGAGCGAACAGACUAGUAGCUUGCUCCUCUGACGUUAGCGGCGGACGGGUGAGUAACACGUGGCUAACCUUCCUAUAUGACUUGGAUAACUUCGGGAAACCGGAGCUAAUACCGGAUAAUAUAUUGAACCGCAUGGUUCAAUAGUGAAAGACGGUUUUGCUUUCACUUAUAGAUGGAUCCCCGCCUCAUUAGCUAGUUGGUAAGGUAACGGCUUACCAAGGCAACGAUGCGUAGCCGACCUGAGAGGGUGAUAGGCCACACUGGAACUGAGACACGGUCCAGACUCCUACGGGAGACAGCAGUAGGGAAUCUGCCGCAAUGGGCGAAAGCAUGACGGAGCAACGCCGCGUGAGUGAUGAAGGUCUUCGGAUCGUAAAACUCUGUUAUUAGGGAAGAACAAAUGUGUAAGUAAAUAUGCACGUCUUGACGGUACCUAAUCAGAAAGCCACGGCUAACUACGUG